UCCAGGAAGAAGAAAUUCUGCUCCACUCUUGACUUCAAUGUUACCAUCCGGUUUAAUGCAGAUCGGGCUUUCUGCUGAAGACACUGCUUCUCUGAAGCCCUCUCAAGGGAAAGAACAUCUUCUACUUGGAAUCGAACUCACGACCUUGCACUUGCCAGUUAUUUAGGGCAAUUAAAAUAUCUGGUUUCCAAACACUAUCAGUCAGUGGAAAAGAAUUUGAAGAUGUGGAUGAAAUGAAUUCAGAUACAUUACAGAUGAAAAUAUGAAUGCCCUUUAAAGAGCUUCAAAUAUUCAUACUGAAAUGGCAAGAGGAGAGAUCUGUUUCUACGGGAAACACUAAUCACAAACCAAGACAAAGCUUUGAACUUCAUGGAGUCUGUAAGACAUUUUGGCCACUCACUAAAAAUCUGCCUGUUUUCCCAAAGUCAAAAUCCCCCUCUUCCCCUGAAGAGGUAACAACUUUAAGGUGCAUUCCAAGACACUCGGCUGUGAUUCUGAUAUCGAAUAUCAGCAAAGGAAGACCCUUCUCCCCCAGCCCAGCCCAGAGAGCAAUGUAAGCAGCCUACUUCAUUCGGAGACUCAUCAAGGACUUCACCGCUUAGUUUACUCUUAGGUCUCAGAAUCGGAGAUGUUGAUGAUUUGUUAAUGCUGCACAUUGAUUCCUAUGUCACAGGUCAAGGUUCAUAGCCCAAAGUAACAAGGAGUCCUCAUGUUGCUUGUGACCUCUCCCAGAUAGACAGAACUUUGUGUUUGUCUCCUUCAUACUACCCUGUCCUCACAGAGUGUGACUCCUUAUCCUACCCCUAAAACUCAGGACAUGGCGCCUGGCUUCCUUAACAAUUUCCAAUGAGUAAGCGUUCUGUGUAUUUAUCAGCUAUUCUGUAGUUUAUAGCUGAAAUUUUCUACACUAUUUCAGUUGUUCCCCAGAGAAAAUCACUACUUUUAAAACGUGUUUAGAAAACUUUAGCACAAUACUUUAUAAAAUACCUGUCUAGUUCCCUAGUCUUGACGCAUGAAAAAGAUGUUCAAGAACUGAGAGCAGUGAGGGUCUUAGGCACCCAAUACCCUGGGUUGCUGGAGCAGUUCGGAGCAUGUGAGAGGUAGGCAUGUAGAUAUGGGCUGUCCAUUUUUUAUCAGUCCGUUAUUAUGACAUUAAUUUUGGCAAUUUUCACCACUCAUGAGAUUUUAAAAUUUUCUCUGCUUCCUUUGAAUUUCUCUUUUGUACUGUUGAAGCUGUACUGUACUUCAUGCAAUGUUGUUUUGGGGACGGUGCUGGAGGGGAGGGUGACCAAUAAAA